rnacentral:rRNA from 1 species
AGCUACAGGCCUAACACAUGCAAGUCGAGGGGAAAUGGCAGCUUAGCUUGCUAAGCUGGACGUCGACCGGCGCACGGGUGAGUAACGCGUAUCCAACCUGCCCCACGGUGAGGGAUAACCCGCGGAAACGCGGCCUAAUACCUCAUGGUCUCCGAGCUUGACAUCAACCUUGGGGUAAAGAUUCAUUGCCGUGGGAUGGGGAUGCGUCUGAUUAGCUUGUUGGCGGGGCAACGGCCCACCAAGGCGACGAUCAGUAGGGGUUCUGAGAGGAAAGCCCCCACAUUGGAACUGAGACACGGUCCAAACUCCUACGGGAGGCAGCAGUGAGGAAUAUUGGUCAAUGGGCGAGAGCCUGAACCAGCCAAGUAGCGUGCAGGAUGACGGCCCUAUGGGUUGUAAACUGCUUUUAUGCGGGGAUAAAGCGGGCGACGUGUCGCCCUUUGCAGGUACCGCAUGAAUAAGGACCGGCUAAUUCCGUGCCAGCAGCCGCGGUAAUACGGAAGGUCCGGGCGUUAUCCGGAUUUAUUGGGUUUAAAGGGAGCGCAGGCCGGGUAUUAAGCGUGUUGUGAAAUGUAGGCGCCCAACGUCUGCACCGCAGCGCGAACUGGUGCCCUUGAGUACGCACGACGUUGGCGGAAUUCGCCGUGUAGCGGUGAAAUGCUUAGAUAUGGCGAAGAACUCCGAUUGCGAAGGCAGCUGACGGGAGCGCUACUGUCGGUCAUGCUUGAAAGGGCGGGGUAUCGAACAGGGAUUUAGAAUACCCUGGUAGUCCGCGGGGUAAACGAAGGAAUGCCCGCUAUUUGCGCAUUAGCGCAAGUGGGCAAGUGAAAACGUUAAGCAUCCCACCUGGGGAGUACGCCGGCAACGGUGAAACUCAAAGGAAUUGACGGGGGCCCGCACAAGCGGAGGAACAUGUGGUUUAAUUCGAUGAUACGCGAGGAACCUUACCCGGGCUUGAAUUGCAGAGGAAAGAUCCAGAGAUGGUGAUGCCCUUCGGGGCCUCUGUGAAGGUGCUGCAUGGUUGUCGUCAGCUCGUGCCGUGAGGUGUCGGCUUAAGUGCCAUAACGAGCGCAACCCCUCUCCAUAGUUGCCAUCAGGUAGUGCUGGGCACUCUGUGGACACUGCCACCGUAAGGUGCGAGGAAGGUGGGGAUGACGUCAAAUCAGCACGGCCCUUACGUCCGGGGCUACACACGUGUUACAAUGGGGGGUACAGAGAGUCGGGACAACGCGAGUUGCCCCCAAAAAUCAAAGCCCCCCUCAGUUCGGACUGGGGUCUGCAACCCGACCCCACGAAGCUGGAUUCGCUAGUAAUCGAAGAUCAGCCAUGGCGCGGUGAAUACGUUCCCGG